rnacentral:lncRNA from 1 species
AACUUCCCUUUUUUCGAAAAAAUGUGCACAAACAAAAGCUAGAAAACAGGCAGAAACGGGUACAGUACUGACCCGACAAAUCCAAUUCGGUAUCGUUCUCCAACUUUUUCCCUUCUGUCAUCGACCUUUUCAAUCGAUCUCAUGCCCAGCAAACCUAUCAAUCUGAUCAAAAUUUCAUUUCGAAAUUCAGUUCUUGAUCCUACAGCAUUGUUGCGAAAAGAACAAAGAUUGAAUUUUUAGCUACAUACUGCCUCAAUAUAUACAAAUCCAAAUUUAUACUACUCGGUUCAAAAUUACAUACAUGUACAUUGUUUCUAACUUUUUCAAUUAGGGGGGAAAGUAGUGGGUCCAGUUGAGCAGCUGCUAAGGGCUGAUCAACGACAAAAGGAUGUAUCAGUGGAGGAAGUUUGAAUUCUUUGAGGAGAAAUUUAGAGGGAAAGUAGCAGAUGAUAUAACGGGCAAGAUUCAGUGUUGUUCCAGCGGCAAAGGAAGGAUUGUAUUGGGCUGUAAUGACGGCUCUGCUUCCUUAUUGGAUCGAGGAUUGAAGUUCAAUUAGUUUAGUGGGAAAGUAGCAGAUGAUAUAACAGGCAAGAUUCAGUGUUGUUCCAGCGGCAAAGGAAGGAUUGUAUUGGGCUGUGAUGACGGCUCAGCUUCCUUAUUGGAUCGAGGAUUGAAGUUCAAUUAUGGUUUCCAAGCUCAUUCUUCCUCUGUCCUCUUCCUCCAACAGCUCAAGCAAAGGAACUUCUUAGUUACUGUUGGAGAAGAUGAGCAAAUAUCUCCCCAGUCCUCAGCUGUUUGUCUUAAAAUUUUUGAUCUCGACAAGAUGGAGCCCGAGGGAACAAGUAAAUCAACUCUCAACAGCUCAAGGUUUAAUUUUCUCUUUAAUUUUUGUUAUUUCAAGUUUCUCCUUAAUUAUAACUCAUUUAAUUUUAAUUUCUUUGGCAUACUUUGACUUGAUAUGAGUUUAAGAACAAAAUAAGACUUUUGAAAGACGCAAUUUGUUUGGCAUAAUUUGACUCGAUGCGGAGUUUGAUAAAGAAAUGAAGACUUUUAAAUCUUACAAAUGUAUUUUCUCAAAAGUAUUUAUCAAAAAAGUGUUUCGGGAAAAAGCUAUUUUUUUCUGGGUCCGCUUACGCUCAAAAGAACUUUUUUAACUUCUAAAAGCUUGGUCAAACACUUUUAACUUUGGAACGAAAGCACUUUUUUUAGCUUGGAGAAGCUUGGCCAAACAAGCUAUUAAAUAUUAACACUUAUGGUCUUAAGCAUAUCAUAACAUCCGUUUAGCUAUGAAGUUUCUGUUAAGGAAAUAUAAAAAUGCACCAUUCUCUCUUCUUCUUUUUUUUUGAUUUGCGUCGGGUGUCCGAGACUCUUCGAGUCCCGACUAAUCCCGGGGUGCACAGGCCCUCGGCAAGGAGUUUUCCGCAAGUGCACCACGGUUAAUUUAGAUGUUUACCCAGUCCGAUGGCUCUCAGAAAUUGUUUGUACCCAGUGGGUUUCGAACUUGAGACCUUGGAAGGAAGCAAACCCCAAGGCUGAAGUCAAUUGACACCAGGCCAACCCCUGAUGGUUAAAAAUGCACCACUCUCUUUUUAACAGACUAAUAAGGAGAAGUGCCCAAAAAAAUGGAACGGAGGGAGUACAACGCAGACUUAGUUAAGAAUAGAAUCCAAUGGAAGUUGCGGAUCCAUAUCAGCGAUACUAAUUUGGUUAGGAUUGAGGAUUUAGUUGUUUGUUACACUUAUAUCGAGUUUGGUGUUUGUUAGCAGAAUUUUAAGUUUGGGUGGAGACCUUGUAUGUUAGUAAGUGAAUGAGAGUGAAAGUAGAGAACCUCUAGUUUAAUUUGCCUUAGAAGACAAACUUUUUUUAGUGUUGGAAUGAAAUGGGUCUGAGUUGAGAGAAAUGGAUGUAGAAGAUCCAUAUAACGAAUCACAACUAGUUGGUAUUCAGGCAAAGUUGAUAGAUGGAUUGAUUCUGCUUGUUGACAAUUUCCCACAACCCCGGAAACUCUAUGUAGAUAGUUGAUUAACUAUGUUUUUGCAUUGUGGAAUUCAACUCAAAACUUGUGUUGAGUGAAAUGCUGAUAAAAGUUUGUUUUUGAUGAGGGGUUUUGUUUUAAGUAACUGGAGUUUUGAUUUUUGUGGAGGUUUCCAUAUGUUUGCAACCUGAAGGUAUCAAAUGAGAUAGAGCUUCAAAAGAUGUGAAGUUAAUUCAAACUCACUAGAAGUCUAUUGCUGCUAUUUUCUUGCAAUUCAAUUAUUUGAUCAAGUUGGAUGGGCAGUUGCAUUGAUAGUAUUGUUUCUCUGGUAUCUUUUUAUUGACAACUUUAUACUUUUUUCUGCAACUACAUCUGCUCACUUGUUUUUUACCAAUUUAUUAUUUUUUAUGUGAUAUCUCGUGUUUAGAUUGUGAGAAUUAACAGAAUUUGGAUGAAAACCCAGAAAGCACUAAAUCCUUAGAGUAUGCUUAUUUUAAAGUGAUAAUGCUUCUGAUACCACUAACUUUAGCUUUCCUCUUUUCUCUGUUAAUUAGCAAAGGAACUUCUUAGUUACUGUUGGAGAAGAUGAGCAAAUAUCUCCCCAGUCCUCAGCUGUUUGUCUUAAAAUUUUUGAUCUAGACAAGAUGGAGCCCGAGGGAACAAGUACAUCAACUCCAGAUUGUAUUCAAAUACUGCGUAUCUUUAC